UCCUCUUCAUUUUAGUCUUGAUGCAAUGG
rnacentral:piRNA from 1 species